AUUGAACGCUGGCGGCAGGCUUAACACAUGCAAGUCGAGCGGAGAUGAGGUGCUUGCACCUUAUCUUAGCGGCGGACGGGUGAGUAAUGCUUAGGAAUCUGCCUAUUAGUGGGGGACAACAUUCCGAAAGGAAUGCUAAUACCGCAUACGUCCUACGGGAGAAAGCAGGGGAUCUUCGGACCUUGCGCUAAUAGAUGAGCCUAAGUCGGAUUAGCUAGUUGGUGGGGUAAAGGCCUACCAAGGCGACGAUCUGUAGCGGGUCUGAGAGGAUGAUCCGCGACACUGGGACUGAGACACGACCCAGACUCCUACGGGAGGCAGCAGUGGGGAAUAUUGGACAAUGGGGGGAACCCUGAUCCAGCCAUGCCGCGUGUGUGAAGAAGGCCUUAUGGUUGUAAAGCACUUUAAGCGAGGAGGAGGCUACUGAGACUAAUACUCUUGGAUAGUGGACGUUACUCGCAGAAUAAGCACCGGCUAACUCUGUGCCAGCCGCCGCAGUAAAAC
rnacentral:rRNA from 1 species